rnacentral:misc_RNA from 1 species
CUCCCCUGCAUACCAAGCGUUUACUAAUGGGUUUGAAGAUAGCUCUGCAAGUUCAUGCCCUAUGACGCUGAUCAUUCCGUCCACACCCACAUCACCAUUCGGCGCUUUCAACGCCCCAGGCCCACCUCCUCCCAUGUAUCCCGGGAUUGCAAAAGGAUAGGCGCAAACGUCGGGGCACUGUUUCCCUGAAUUUCCCACCCAAGCGUAUGGUAAAGUGUAGCCCACCAUAGAUGGGAAUGUGAAGUAAUGGAACCCACA